rnacentral:rRNA from 1 species
ACGGGUGAGUAACACGUGGGGAUAUGCCUUUUGGUUCGGGAUAACUGAGGGAAACUUCAGCUAAUACCGGAUAAGCCCUAAGGGGGAAAGAUUUAUCGCCGAAAGAGUAGCCCGCGUUGGAUUAGCUAGUUGGUGGGGUAAUGGCCCACCAAGGCUACGAUCCAUAGCUGGUCUGAGAGGAUGAUCAGCCACACUGGGACUGAGACACGGCCCAGACUCCUACGGGAGGCAGCAGUGGGGAAUCUUGCGCAAUGGGCGAAAGCCUGACGCAGCCAUGCCGCGUGAAUGAUGAAGGUCUUAGGAUUGUAAAAUUCUUUUAGCAGGGACGAUAAUGACGGUACCUGCAGAAAAAGCCCCGGCUAACUUCGUGCCAGCAGCCGCGGUAAUACGAAGGGGGCUAGCGUUGCUCGGAAUUACUGGGCGUAAAGGGAGCGUAGGCGGGUUAUCAAGUUGGGGGUGAAAGCCCGGGGCUCAACCUCGGAAUUGCCUUCAAAACUGAUAACCUGGAGUAUGGAAGAGGUAAGUGGAACUCCGAGUGUAGAGGUGAAAUUCGUAGA